UUUCAGCUUCUAAAACAGCAUAGCUGCUCAAAAAAAUCCAUAUGGGAGAAAGGAAUCUUAAUGCAAGAUCAGCCCUUUGAUGACUUACAGAAAAAUUCCAACACAUAUCGGCCGGACAAAGCCAACGCUUGAAGGCUCGCUAAUUUCGACUAGAUAGCCUUUCACGUGGAGGACCCUUUCAAGGAGAGGAAUUAUCCUCUUGAAAUCCUUCAAAUGGAAGGUUGUCCUCCAUCAAAGAGCCCAAGGAACCAUCCUAUCAGCCGUGCUUGAGCCUACAGGUUGCCCUGCCCACGCUGGCUGGAGGAUUUUUGGGAUAUUAGCACAGAAGAAUAACUUCUCCAUGCUGCGGUUGCUUUGCUAGUGAGAUCUGGGUGGCCUCCGGGGACAGGUGGGCUUCAAGCUUUCUCCGUGGCUGAAAAACUGCACCCUCUGACCAGUCUAAAUCUGCGCCAGAACAGAACGCUCGGCAAGAGUUGACCUAACCCUUGGCAAUGACACAGCCGAGCCCAGCAAAAUCUGUGCCCGUCAAGAGAUUCUCCUAGGCGAGACGUGUCCUUGUUCAACACCAGCCAAAACUUUUGUCUUUUCUCCUCAGCCUACCCAAGGCUGCCU